UUGCUUCAGGAUACAAAAUGACAGCAGUCGUCUUUAGUCCUAGCAAGAAUGUCAUGAAUGUGGAUGAGGUCCAAAGAAAGGGUUAUGCAAUAGCCAACACUCUCACACGGCUGGUGUUAAGAAGCCCUCAUAAUGCAGAGGAGACAUACCUCCAGAAUGUAGCUGGGGUUCCGAUGCGGGUGCUCUCAACCUCAACCUUCUUUGAGCAGAAGUGGCUGGUUACUCGAGUAGAUGCCACGGCUGUUUGUCCAACACCAGAGGCAGUGACCUUUACUCCAGAAGUGAUCACCUGGUACAUGCCCAAGCACAGACCCACUUUUGUCCUCUGAUGCCUUCACCAUGUUGGAGGUGUAC